rnacentral:rRNA from 1 species
GAGUUUGAUCCUGGCUCAGGACGAACGCCGGCGGCGUGCCUAACACAUGCAAGUCAAGGAGAUUGCCCCUUUCGGGGGGCUUGAAACUGGCGAACGGGUGAGUAACGCGUAGAUAAUCUGCCCUAAUCCCUGGCAUAACGUCGAGAAAUCGGCGCUAAAAUCAGAUGAGGCGUUUACGUCAAAGGGAAACCGGAUUAGGAUGAGUCUGCGUCUGAUUAGCUAGUUGGUAGUGUAAUGGACUACCAAGGCGACGAUCAGUAGCUGGUCUGAGAGGAUGGUCAGCCACACUGGAACUGAGACACGGUCCAGACUCCUACGGGAGGCAGCAGUGAGGAAUAUUGGUCAAUGGGGGAAACCCUGAACCAGCGACGCCGCGUGUGGGACGAAGGAGCUUUGCUCUGUAAACCACUGUCGGGAGGGAAGAAAAGCAGCUUUGAGCUGCCGGGACUGUACCUCCGGAGGAAGGAUCGGCUAACUACGUGCCAGCAGCCGCGGUAAUACGUAGGAUCCGAGCGUUGUCCGGAAUCACUGGGUGUAAAGGGUGCGCAGGCGGAUUUGAACGUCAGAGGUUAAAUGUCACCGCUUAACGGUGAACCUGCCUUUGAAACGGCAAGUCUUGAGUAUGAGAGAGGUAAGUAGAAUUCCUGGUGUAGCGGUGAAAUGCGUAGAUAUCAGGAGGAAUACCAGUGGCGAAGGCGGCUUACUGGCUCAUAACUGACGCUCAGGCACGAAAGCGCGGGUAGCAAACAGGAUUAGAUACCCUGGUAGUCCGCGCCCUAAACGAUGUAUGCUUGGUGUUGGGAGUCUAACUCUCAGUGCCGGAGGAAACCCGUUAAGCAUACCACCUGGGGAGUACGAUCGCAAGGUUGAAACUCAAAGGAAUUGACGGGGGCCCGCACAAGCGGUGGAUCAUGUGGUUUAAUUCGAUGCAACGCGAAGAACCUUACCUGGGCUUGACAUGCAGCUGCAGUCCCGAUGAAAGUUGGGAUGCCUUCGAGGGUGCUGCACAGGUGCUGCAUGGCUGUCGUCAGUUCGUGCCGUGAGGUGUUUGGUUAAGUCCAGCAACGAACGCAACCCUUGUGUCUAGUUGCCACCUCCGAUGAUGAAUCGGGGAGCACUUUAGACAGACUGCCCGUGUAAGCGGGAGGAAGGUGGGGAUGACGUCAAGUCAGUAUGGCCCUUACGCCCAGGGCUGCACACGUGCUACAAUGGAGGUUACAGAAGGAUGCAAGACCGCGAGGUGGAGCAAAUCCUGAAAAGCCUCCUCAGUUCAGAUUGAAGUCUGCAACUCGACUUCAUGAAG